AACUUAAGAUAAGGAGUUAUCACCUACAGGAUAGAGAGAUAGACAUUAAAGCCCAGUGCUCUUAAUAGAAGGCUGUUAACUUAUUUGCUGGAUGUUUAAGAUUAAGUUUUAAAAUUAAAAAUUUGGCUCUUGCCCUCUGAGUCAGUCUGAAUCAGGGAAUAGGGGACUUCUCCAAAGGGCUCUUCAACUCUGGGCCACAUAACAUCCCGAUCAGGGAGAUUAAUGAGACCAGUGGAGGACAGGAGGCCAAUCGGUGCAUUUGCUGUGAAGAGGAGGGUCUUCAGAAAGGGGAGACAUCCCUGAUGCUUCUGAGGGAAGCCACAUGGGCAAGCAAGGCCUGGACCCAUCCUAAGGUAAAUGGCACUAGCAGAACUGAGAAGCUGCUAUGAAGUUCCCCAAGGACUCCCAGGGAAACUCAGCUGACUGUUGACAAUAGAUAAGAACAAAAGUCAGUUUGACUUGCUUCAUCUUAAACACUUAGUAAAGAUAGUUAAAGCCAAAGCACAGCUGUUCCUGGACAUUUUAAAUGAUAAUAAUAAUUAAAUGUGACUUCAAAAAAUAAGUAAACUGGAGGCUACAAAAGAGAUUCUCAGACAGAAAUGUCUGAUAACUAUUAAAAGGAACUGCCAGAGUAAUUUUUAGUUUAAGGCCCACAGAUAUUCCUAACCUACACAGGUAGGCUUGGUGUUUGCCAGUAUGGUUAUCCAGCCCUAAGUAGCAAAAUUAAAGGUUUAUCUAUUAGACAUAGGUCAUACUAGUAAAAAGGACAUCUGUAAACCUAAAUGUUAGUUGUUGUGUUUACAUCCCUGACAUUUCUGGCAAGGUGACAAAUAUCCUUAAAGAUUUACAUGCUUAGAUAGAAGCCAUGUCCUCAGCAACUUUGUCGUGGAAACAAUAUCUUAGCUUCUGGUUCUUGGUACUUCUUGGUGGAAAACAUUGUUAGUCUCUGUAUUAGCCAUUACACUCAUUGGCAUAUUCCUGUGCUGUGACAUUUAUUGCUGCAUCAAUAUGGUUCCAGUAAAUUAAUGAAUGCUUGUUUCUCUUAUAGACCACCCACCACUCGAAUGGCCAUCCAGCCUAAAACUUCUCAAUUGGACUUUUAUCAUGGACCACUCGAUAGACCCGAUAUUUUUAAAGGGGGACUCCAAACUGCUUGCCCCACACCAUCCCUUUUCAGCUUGAAGAAGCCAGAAAGAUUCUCUUCACCUCCCCUUCCUUACAGCAGUAAGGAGUUCCCAAAUUAGAGGGGGAAAUAAAGCCAGAUUUUAAGUUAGGUAGUCAGUGUAGUUAGAUAAAUCGGGGUCUAAUACUGAGAGGAAUCUAAAAUGGAGGCCAUGCUGAAAAUGAUACCAGGGAAUGCAAAACAACUCAUAAAAUGUGAAACCCUUCAAUAAUCGUGAUGCAUUACUUUUAAGAUUAAGAGUAGUCAGAAAAAGGAGUGGGGAAUAUAAGGGUAAAAGAAAUUGAAGUUAAAGCAUAAAAGUUAAAGGGUAAAAGACCGGGUGUUGUAAAGUUUCUAAGCUGUAAGGUCUGAGUUAAAAUGUAAAGGAUUAGGUAUUGUUAGGUUUCUAUGCUACCUGCAAAACCUGAAAUUUCUGUAGCUGUUGAGACAAUGCUUGGAACUGCCCAGGAAAUAUUUCCCCUGACUAUUGGUUGUUUAAUAAGGGCUCUGUGUGGUCGCACGUAGGCAUUGCAGGGCCUGGACCAAUCAGUUUAAAUGUAACCCCCUCCUUAGGAAUGACCUAUCACUCCAGCCUGACCUGUUCCUGCCAAUGAAUGAACCAAUCAUGUUUAGGAGUUGUUAUUCAAUUUUCCCGUGCCUAAUGAUGAUUUGUUCUGAUGUAUACAAAGCCCUCCGCCCUCCCCAAAAAGUGUACUUAAGCAGUGCUCAGCCCCUGCUCGGGGCUCUGGCUGCUUUCCCUUCUUGAGUGGGCAUGGAGCCCCAGCAUGCUGGUUCAAUAAAUCCCCCUUCUGCCAAUUGCAUGAGUGGUCACUUGGUGGUCUCUUUC
rnacentral:lncRNA from 1 species